rnacentral:rRNA from 1 species
UUGGGAGUGAGUGGCGGAACGGGUGAGUAACACGUGAGUAACCUCGCCCCCUUCCUUUGGGAUAACGCCCGGAAACCGGGUGCUAAUACUGGAUAUUCACUGAUCUUCGCAUGGGGGUUGGGUGGAAAGGUUUUUUCUGGUGGGGGAUGGGCUCGCGGCCUAUCAGCUUGUUGGUGGGGUGAUGGCCUACCAAGGCUUUGACGGGUAGCCGGCCUGAGAGGGUGACCGGUCACAUUGGGACUGAGAUACGGCCCAG